GACGAACGCUGGCGGCGUGCUUAACACAUGCAAGUCGAACGGAAAGGCCCUGCUUUUGUGGGGUGCUCGAGUGGCGAACGGGUGAGUAACACGUGAGUAACCUGCCCUUGACUUUGGGAUAACUUCGGGAAACUGGGGCUAAUACCGGAUAGGAGCUCCUGCUGCAUGGUGGGGGUUGGAAAGUUUCGGCGGUUGGGGAUGGACUCGCGGCUUAUCAGCUUGUUGGUGGGGUAGUGGCUUACCAAGGCUUUGACGGGUAGCCGGCCUGAGAGGGUGACCGGCCACAUUGGGACUGAGAUACGGCCCAGACUCCUACGGGAGGCAGCAGUGGGGAAUAUUGCACAAUGGGCGGAGGCCUGAUGCAGCAACGCCGCGUGCGGGAUGACGGCCUUCGGGUUGUAAACCGCUUUCGCCUGUGACGAAGCGUGAGUGACGGUAAUGGGUAAAGAAGCACCGGCUAACUACGUG
rnacentral:rRNA from 1 species